rnacentral:tRNA from 1 species
GGGAUUGUAGCUCAGUGGUAGAGCGCUAGCCUAGCACGUGUGAGGCCCUGGGUUCAAUCCUCAGCAUCACA